rnacentral:tRNA from 2 species
GGAGUUGUGCCUGAAAUAAAGGGCCACUUUGAUAGAGUGAACCAUGAGGGUUAAAUUCCCUCCAACUCCU